UACGGAGGGUGCGAGCGUUGUCCGGAAUCACUGGGCGUAAAGGGCGCGUAGGCGGCGCGGGCAGUCAACGGUGAAAGCUUGGGGCUCAACCCCGAGUCGGCCGUCGAUACUCCCGGGCUGGAGCACUGUAGAGGCAGGUGGAAUUCCGGGUGUAGCGGUGGAAUGCGUAGAGAUGUGGAGGAACACCAGUGGCGAAGGCGACUCUUUGGCCUGUAACUGACGCUGAGGCGCGAAAGCGUGGGGAGCAAACAGG
rnacentral:rRNA from 1 species